rnacentral:miRNA from 2 species
ACUAAGCUGGGUGGAUAGUCA